GUGGAACAGACAUGAGUCACGCCCACCAAGACCUAUCCUAAUUGCAAAUUUGUGAGCUGGGUAAAUUAGUUUUUUGGUUUGGUUUGAUUUGUUCUUUUUUUUGAGCUCCUAAGGUUUGGAGUAGUUUGUUACGUAGCAAUGGAUAUCUAGAAAAGAUAGCUAAGCCCAAUGUCAGUGAUGAGGAAAGACUCUCUUUGCACUAGGAAGCCAGGACAAGGGUAAAGUCAUACCCCAUUCCAAGGGAGCAAAACACUGGGGCCCCUCAUUUAACUUACUGCAUGACUGUGUGGUUCAUAUGCCGAAAUUUUACUGGCUUCUCCAUCAAGAUAAAGACCAGGACUUGCAUACUCUUGGUGGGAACGUGAAUUAGGAGAGCCAUUGUGGAAAACAGUAAGACAGUUCCUCAAACAAUCAAAAACAGAACUACCAUAUGAUCCAGCAAUUCCACUACUGCAUAUACAUCCAAAAGCAGUGAAUAUAUUUCAGGAUCUCACAGAGACACCUGCACUUCCAUAUCUAUUUCAGCAGUAUUCACAGAAGCCAAGAUAUGGAAUCAACCGAAGUGUCCAUUGAUGGGUGAAGGUGCAGAGAAAAUGUGGUACAUAUUCAAAAUGGAAUACCAGUCAGCCUUUAAAAAGAAGGCACUCGUGUAACUUAUGACAGCAUGGAUAAACCCUAGAGGAUAUUAUGACAGGGGUACGGAGAGAACAGAGGACAAGGUGGGAGAUUUGUUUUCAAAACAGGACUCAAAAUGGACCACACUACUCACACCCACCUACAAUUGCCUGGGACAGCGUCAUAAAGCCACCCACACCUCACUCAAACAAGGCUUGAAAUGAGGUCCAGCAGGAUGCCCAGGAGGAAGAGGAAGAGGAGGAGGAGGAGGAGGUGGAGGAGGAGGAAUGAGACAAAUGCUACGAAGAAAAUGAAGGAAGUAUCAAGACUGGGAGUACUAAUUCAUAUUGAGUGGCCGAGUCAAGACUGUUUGAGGAUGCAGGAUUUAUGCUGAUAUCUGAAGGGGAACUAGACAGCUUUUCAAAUUUCUGGGGGAAAGUGUUCUAGAAUCAAAGGAAAACAAGGACAAAUCUCAGAAGUGGGACCUUGCUAUGGUUUAAAUGUGUCCCUUGGAAGCUCCUAUGUUGGGAACUUGAUGGCGCUGUGACAAUAUUAGCCCUCAUAAAUAGAUUAAUAUUGCUGUCAUGGGAGUGAGUGAGUGACUGUGAAAGUCUGGCCACUGUUUUUCUCUUUCCUUCCCUCUCCCUUCAGCCUUCUUCCUCUGAAUAAUCCUCAUCAGAUCCCAGUGUGAUGCCCCGGGACUGCCCAGCAUCCAGAAUUGUAU
rnacentral:lncRNA from 13 species